rnacentral:lncRNA from 1 species
CUUCGCAGCAUGCACGACUCUCCAGCAUUAUUUCUUGGAUUGACUUCUCGGUUUCGACUCCUGUCUGUCUCUGACCACGUCGUAUCGUCUCAGCCCUUGGAUCCCCUGUCAAGUUUCUUCGCUCUGGUGAGAACUUCAGGUUUUGCUGUGUUACUGGCUUCCCGACCUACUGCCUGUCCACGACUAUCCUUCCGUCUGAUCCCUCUGGAAUUAUUCUGCCCCGCUGAUUGUCUGCCUGGAUUCGACAUUGCCUCCGCAUCGACCACGAGCCCAGCCUGCCCCUCGACAGUGCCGCUGCACUUCACAAAGACUCUCAGGUGUAGUGUGUUUUCUGUGUGCACUCACCUUUCUGCCUGUUGGACCUGUUUCCUGUGGAUCAGUUUACUGUUGAUCUUGGAGAUUCUACAGAGACUGCUAAAUCAAUCCCAGUAUCUUCAGUUACCUGUUUGCUGUGAACUAUUGCAAUAAAAGUAGCUUCUAAACAACUACCUGCCGUUGUGCUGCACUUGGGUCCUAAUUCCACACCCCUGACACAUAUAUUUCAAAAUUUCCCAUGCUAUUUGUCCCCUGCCUUCUUUAAGUCACUGAAUUCUCAUAUCUCUUGCUAUAUUUCGAAAAACAGACACCAGAGUUAAUGUUCUCUCUACUUAUUAAGCCAAGGGAUCUGGGAGGCCUGUUUCUGCCCAACUUACAACUAUGUUAUUGGUCAGCCCAACUUAAAAUUAUGUCAAAUUGGUUUAUGAACAGGAAAGAUGUUUUAUGGUUGGGUCUUGAAUCCCUUUGUUGCUAUCCCAGAAGGGUUGGCUUGCUUCCUUUUAUAAAUGACAUGGAUCAUUUAAAUCACCUCAAGAACAACAUCAUUGUUUAUAACAAACUACGGGUUUGAAGAGAUGUGAAAAAAUACUUCAAUAUUUGCCCUGUCUUCUCUUUCCAUUCUCCCUUGGCUUUGAAUCCAGAUUAACCAGCACAAAUUAGGAGUAUUGGUGUGACGGAUUGGUCAUCUAAGGGCCUGUCAAACUUAUCAGACCUAUUGGUCUCUGAUUCUAUUAAGUCAUUUGAUCAAAUCAUGGCAGAUUUUAUUAUUCCCCACAAAGAUUUUUAUAAAUAUCUCCAAAUUCAUCAUUUUAUAGGGUCUCUUAUUAUAGUGAGUAAUAGAUUACUCAACUUUGGAUGAGUAAUCAUCCAAAGGACUCAUUUCCAACAUUUUAUACUUCACUACUUUCUUCUGGUUCUUCAGGUUGUGACUCUCUGAAGCGUGAUCUGGAGGUGAUGUUUAGUUGUGACUGGGAAAAGAUUUGCAGUGGGGUUUUCCCUAAAUGUAAUUCAAUUUCUAUACAUGAACAGAACAUGAAACUCUUUCACCAAAAUUAUACAACAUCUGUUUGCCUCCAGAUGAUGUUCCCUGGCACCUCAACAUUUUUUUUUUAAAUGUAAGAUGCAGAGAAGGUACAUUUAUUCACCUGCUUUGGUCAUGUGACAGCAUCAUUUGCAUUUGAAAAUGAAAAUCCAUUGGCCGCUGUGACAACCCCUCCCACUCUUCCUCCUCUUUCUCCCCUUGCAAUUGUCUCACUCUGCUCUUUGUUUCAGCCUCAGGGAGACCCUGGAGGACGGAGCUAGGAGGGGCUGAGUUACCUGCCCAGCAGGGCAGGGCCAAAAGGGAAAAAAGGCCUGGCUGCAUGACUGUUAGCUCUCUCUCAGCAAGGCCUGCAUCUGCCACUCCAGCUAUCACUUUUGUGGUUUUAAUCAUCCAACAUCCACCAUACACAUGACACACACAUUUGCUGACAUGAC